rnacentral:rRNA from 1 species
UACAGAGACUGCAAGCGUUAUUCGGAUUCACUGGGCGUAAAGGGUGCGCAGGCGGCUGGGUGUGUCAGAUGUGAAAUCCCGAGGCUCAACCUCGGAACUGCGUCUGAAACUACUCGACUAGAGUACUGGAGAGGGUAACGGAAUUCACGGUGUAGCAGUGAAAUGCGUAGAUAUCGUGAGGAACACCAGAGGCGAAGGCGGUUACCUGGACAGUUACUGACGCUCAGGCACGAAAGCAUGGGGAGCAAAAGGG